rnacentral:rRNA from 1 species
AGCGAACGCUGGCGGCAGGCCUAACACAUGCAAGUCGAACGAAGUCUUCGGACUUAGUGGCGGACGGGCGAGUAACACGUGGGAACGUACCUUUUGGUUCGGAACAACUCAGGAAACUUGAGCUAAUACCGAAUGUGCCCCUAGGGGGACAGAUUUAUCGCCAUUAGAGCGGCCCGCGUUAGAUUAGCUAGUUGGUGGAGUAAAGGCCCACCAAGGCUACGAUCUAUAGCUGGUCUGAGGGGAUGAUCAGGCACACUGGGACUGAGACACGGGCCAGACUCCUACGGGAGGCAGCAGUGGGGGAUCUUGCGCAAUGGGCGAAAGCAUGACGCAGCUAUGCCGCGUGAAUGAUGAAGGUCUUAGGAUUGUACAAGUCUUUCAGUAGGGACGAUAAGGACGGUACCUACAGAAGAAGCCCCGGCUAACUUCGUGCCAGCCGCCGCAGUAA